GAUUCUAGCGUACGCAGAAGGCGCAGGCGAGCCGUGACUUCCUUCGAUCGGGAAAUCGCAUCGAGCCUCCUGCUCCUCGUGUUUCCUGCGACGCUAGCCUUCAACCGACGGGCUUGAUCUCUUCCUCUCCUUAGCAGUAGCUCCGGUCACUGCUUCCCCUAUCUCCGGCCUGCCAGUCUUAGUGCAAAGACGAGAGAGAC
rnacentral:lncRNA from 1 species